UCUUCUUCGGGCUUACCUUGCGUGCUACUGGGUGAUAACCGAUACCAAACCUGUCGUACUUUUCUGCCACGUUGACAACCUUACCCCAACCGGGAAGUGGGUAUUUCUCCAAUGUCUUCUUGGCAUAUUUCAUCGAGGAUAGGACGGUAGCGGUUGAUUGGUUAUGAUUGGCGGUAGCGGAUUUGACUUCUUCAAAUUCUAAAUAGUGGAGCGGAACCUCAAUAAUCCCUUCACCUGUUUCAACAUAUCUGAAUGAAGAUAGUUCGUUAACC
rnacentral:lncRNA from 1 species